UACGUAGGGGGCAAGCGUUGUCCGGAAUUAUUGGGCGUAAAGCGCGCGCAGGCGGUCCUUUAAGUCUGAUGUGAAAGCCCACGGCUUAACCGUGGAGGGUCAUUGGAAACUGGAGGACUUGAGUACAGAAGAGGAGAGUGGAAUUCCACGUGGAGCGGUGAAAUGCGUAGAGAUGUGGAGGAACACCAGUGGCGAAGGCGACUCUCUGGUCUGUAACUGACGCUGAGGCGCGAAAGCGUGGGUAGCGAACAGG
rnacentral:rRNA from 1 species